GGCGGGGUCCUCAGAGCCGCCAUGUUGGUACAUAAGUUGUUGCCCCGCGUGGCGUCGAUGAGCCGCACUGCGGUAGAGACAGGAGGACCGAGGUGAAAACAGUUUAAUAGUUGUUGAAGUUGAGCUAGUUACACGGUGACAGUGACACAGCAUCUCUUCAGAAGCCACGAGACCACCGGAAGUACCGGUUUCUUCCCGGCGAGCUCGCGUGUUAGCAACAAAGUCACUGUUAUGAGAAGCUUCGGCUUGUGAACGUCAGGUGUGUCCAGGUCUUUUUAUUGACUGAGAAGAUCCAGUGGUGAAGGUCCGACUAGCCAGAACCUGGAUUCACAUUUCCACUGAAACAUCCCGAUGAGCUGCUUCUGCUUUGUGUUUCCACUCUGUGUUUGAUUAGGUGAGGGGGAGGAAGAGGAGGAGGUGGAGGAAGAGGAGGAUG